rnacentral:rRNA from 1 species
UACGUAGGGUGCGAGCGUUGUCCGGAAUUAUUGGGCGUAAAGAGCUUGUAGGCGGUUUGUCGCGUCUGCCGUGAAAAUUCGAGGCUCAACCUCGAACUUGCGGUGGGUACGGGCAGACUAGAGUGUGGUAGGGGAGACUGGAAUUCCUGGUGUAGCGGUGAAAUGCGCAGAUAUCAGGAGGAACACCGGUGGCGAAGGCGGUUCUCUGGGCCGAUACUGACGCUGAGGAGCGAAAGCGUGGGGAGCGAACAGG